CAGGCCUAACACAUGCAAGUCGAGGGGCAGCAUGGUCUUAGCUUGCUAAGGCUGAUGGCGACCGGCGCACGGGUGAGUAACACGUAUCCAACCUGCCGUCUACUCUUGGCCAGCCUUCUGAAAGGAAGAUUAAUCCAGGAUGGGAUCAUGAGUUCACAUGUCCGCAUGAUUAAAGGUAUUUUCCGGUAGACGAUGGGGAUGCGUUCCAUUAGAUAGUAGGCGGGGUAACGGCCCACCUAGUCAACGAUGGAUAGGGGUUCUGANAGGAAGGUCCCCCACAUUGGAACUGAGACACGGUCCAAACUCCUACGGGAGGCAGCAGUGAGGAAUAUUGGUCAAUUGGCGAUGGCCUGAACCAGCCAAGUANCGUGAAGGAUGACUGCCCUAUGGGUUUUUAAA
rnacentral:rRNA from 1 species